AGUGGCAGACGGGUGAGUAAUGUAUAGGAAUCUACCUAGUAGUACGGAAUAAUUGUUGGAAACGGCAACUAAUACCGUAUACGCCCUACGGGGGAAAGAUUUAUCGCUAUUAGAUGAGCCUAUAUUAGAUUAGCUAGUUGGUAAGGUAAUGGCUUACCAAGGCAAUGAUCUAUAGCUGAUCUGAGAGGGUGAUCAGCCACACUGGAACUGAGAUACGGUCCAGACUCCUACGGGAGGCAGCAGUGGGGAAUAUUGGACAAUGGGCGAAAGCCUGAUCCAGCCAUGCCGCAUGAGUGAAGAAGGCCUUUGGGUUGUAAAGCUCUUUCGGUGAGGAAGAUAAUGACGGUACUCACAGAAGAAGUCCUGGCUAACUCCGUGCCAGCAGCCGCGGUAAUACGGAGAGGGCUAGCGUUAUUCGGAAUUAUUGGGCGUAAAGAGCGCGUANGCUGGUUAGUAAGUUAAAAGUGAAAUCCCAAAGCUCAACUUUGGAAUUGCUUUUAAAACUGCUAACCUAGAGAUUGAAAGAGGAUAGAGGAAUUCCUAGUGUGNAGGUGAAAUUCGUAAAUAUUANGAGGAACACCAGUGGCG
rnacentral:rRNA from 1 species